CAGUAGCCGCGGUAAUACGGAGGGUGCAAGCGUUAAUCGGAAUUACUGGGCGUAAAGCGCACGCAGGCGGUUUGUUAAGUCAGAUGUGAAAUCCCCGAGCUUAACUUGGGAACUGCAUUUGAAACUGGCAAGCUAGAGUCUUGUAGAGGGGGGUAGAAUUCCAGGUGUAGCGGUGAAAUGCGUAGAGAUCUGGAGGAAUACCGGUGGCGAAGGCGGCCCCCUGGACAAAGAUUGACGCUCAGGUGCGAAAGCGUGGGGAGCAAACAGGAUUAGAUACCCCGGUAGUCCCUGUCUCUUAUCC
rnacentral:rRNA from 1 species